rnacentral:tRNA from 1 species
GUCCAGGGAUGGGAAUCAAACCCACAGUGUUCCGCUUACUGGGCAGAUGCCAUGUCCACUAGGCUACCCUGGA